GACGGAGGGUGCUAGCGUUGUUCGGAAUCACUGGGCGUAAAGGGCGCGUAGGCGGCCUUGCAAGUCGGUUGGUGAAAGCCCGGGGCUCAACCCCCGGAGGUGCGGCCGAGACUGCAGGCUGGAGGCCGGAAGAGGAGGGUGGAAUACCCAGUGUAGAGGUGAAAUUCGUAGAUAUUGGGUGGAACACCGGUGGCGAAAGCGGCUCUCUGGUCCGGACCUGACGCUGAGGCGCGAAAGCGUGGGUAGCAAACAGG
rnacentral:rRNA from 1 species